rnacentral:rRNA from 1 species
AGCGAACGCUGGCGGCAGGCCUAACACAUGCAAGUCGAACGGAUCCUUCGGGAUUAGUGGCGGACGGGUGAGUAACACGUGGGAACGUGCCCUUUGGUUCGGGACAACUCAGGGAAACUUGAGCUAAUACCGGAUGUGCCCUUCGGGGGAAAGAUUUAUCGCCAGUGGAGCGGCCCGCGUCUGAUUAGCUAGUUGGUGAGGUAAAGGCUCACCAAGGCGACGAUCAGUAGCUGGUCUGAGAGGAUGAUCAGCCACAUUGGGACUGAGACACGGCCCAAACUCCUACGGGAGGCAGCAGUGGGGAAUCUUGCGCAAUGGGCGAAAGCCUGGCGCAGCCAUGCCGCGUGAAUGAUGAAGGUCUUAGGAUUGUAAAAUUCUUUCACCGGGGACGAUAAUGACGGUACCCGGAGAAGAAGCCCCGGCUAACUUCGUGCCAGCAGCCGCCGUAAAAC